CCGACCCUCGGGCGGACAUGAAGUGGCGAACGGGUGAGUAACACGUGACCAACCUGCCCCCCUCUCCGGGACAACCUUGGGAAACCGAGGCUAAUACCGGAUACUCCCUCCCCUGCUCCUGCAGGGGUCGGGAAAGCCCAGGCGGAGGGGGAUGGGGUCGCGGCCCAUUAGGUAGUAGGCGGGGUAACGGCUCACCUAGGCGACGAUCCCUAGCUGGUCUGAGAAGAUGACCAGCCACACUGGAACUGAGACACGGUCCAGACUCCUACGGGAGGCAGCAUG
rnacentral:rRNA from 1 species